GACGGGGGGGGCAAGCGUUGUUCGGAAUUACUGGGCGUAAAGCGCACGCAGGCGGUCUUGUAAGUUUGACGUGAAAGCUCCCGGCUUAACUGGGAGAGGUCGUUGAAUACUGCGAGACUUGAGUUUAGGAGAGGGGUGCAGAAUUCCCGGUGUAGUGGUGGAAUGCGUAGAUAUCGGGAGGAAUACCAGUGGCGAAAGCGGCACCCUAGCCUUUGACUGACGCUCAUGUGCGAAAGCGUGGGGAGCGAACGGG
rnacentral:rRNA from 1 species